UACGUAGGGGGCGAGCGUUGUUCGGAUUUACUGGGCGUAAAGGGCGUGUAGGUGGCUUUGCAAGUCGAAUGUGAAAUCCCUUGGCUUAACUAAGGAAGUGCAUUCGAAACUGCAUGGCUAGAGUUCGGGAGAGGAGAGCGGAAUUCUCGGUGUAGCGGUGAAAUGCGUGGAGAUCGAGAAGAACACCAGUGGUGAAAGCGGCUCUCUAGACCGAUACUGACACUGAGGCGCGAAAGCAUGGGGAGCAAACGGG
rnacentral:rRNA from 1 species